UUUUCUAUCCAUUCACUAGGAUCCAAAUCCAACUCAUCCAAUUGCCACCCCUAAUUGGCUUUCUAUCAUUUUAAGUUACACAUUCAGCAUAAAUGGCAAUAAUCAGUGCAGCCUUAAUAAAGUAGUAAUCAGAAGAAGAUAGAAAACCCAGUGCACGAUAUAUGUUUGGACAAACCAAAAGGUUUUCAAAACCCAGAGAGCAUACACACAGACAACAGAACAAAAAAGAGAGCUAUCACUCGACACACACAAGAGAGCAAUCCGAAAAACAGAAAAAUAGAGAUAGGCAUUCUAACAUACAUAGCAUAACACGACAGAGACAAAAGGAGUGAAAAAAUCAGGAAGAGGAAAAGAGCACAGAGGUAGACAUUCUGAAACACAAAAAACAAACACAACACGCAGAAGAGAAAGGAGAAGCAAUCAGAGAUACCGAAGAAAUGAAGAAUUCAAUCGAGUCACAGAGGGUGCAAGGAAUAUCCAGAAACAGGAACCCAAGGUUCAAAGGGUAAAAGAAAAGGUGUACUUUCAGGUAAGCAUUUCAUUCUAUUCAUCUAAACAAUUAUAAGCAAAUACAUCUUUAUCCAGUUUGAGUUAUAUAUAUCAAAAGAAAUACAUACAACCUGUAAUUGCAUUUAUAAACACCGAAUUAAUGGUUAAGCCAGAGAGUAUUACCUCGUGCCGGCACCGUCUUGUGUGGGGAGUCUCUACCGAGGAUCGUCUUGAACCUUGGACCCAGAGCCGCCUUACUCUCGGGUCGAGAACCACUGUGAACCGCCGAUGAGAGAAUCUUCGAAUCGAUGGGGCGACAGCCGUUCGUAGGUUGGAAAAGAGGGACUUACCGGUGGUCCCGUUGCUGCCUUCCUUCACCAUCGCCAGCCAGAGCCGCCGUGCUCUCGGUCGGACGAAAAUGGGACGAUGGCCUCGAGGCCGCGCCGUCGCUAAGACGUCUUGGCUGGUUUCUGCAACGGCCAGCCUCCAUUCUUGAGUCGCCGCCGCUGGAAAGGGAGAACAUAAUAGCUGGGGGGUUUCAUUCCCUUUUACGGUUUCGUUUCGGGAAGAAAUAAGAAUAUGGGGUAACAAAUUUACCCUAAUUUUUUAUAUAUUUACUUAAUUUUUUUUUUUCAUUACUAUUAAGGGUAUGUUUACCUUACUUAAUUCAUGGUCGAGUUUGUGGUUAUCCCUCCAAAUAAGUGUCACUCUCAUAAAUAAAACUCUUAACGUUGAGGAUCCAGUGAGACCUUAUGCCACUAGACUAGCUUCUCGUUGGUCUUUAAGCCCCUUUAUUUAUUUUAUUUUGUAUUUAUGUAUUUUAUUUAUUUGUUUUAUCCUUGCAUUGUUAUUAAUCUUGGACCGAUCAAUAACUCGGUUAGGGUACUAGGUCAAUGAAUGUCACUCUUAUAAAUAAAACUCUUAAUCAAACAAGUGUCACUGUCAUAAAUAAAACUCUUAACGUUGAGGAUCCAGUGGAACCUUAUGCCAUUAGACCAGCUUCCCGUUGGUCUUUAAGCCCCUUUUAUUUAUUUUAUUUUGUAUUUAUGUAUUUUAUUUAUUUGUUUUAUCCUUGCAGUGUUAAUAAAUUUGGACCGAUCAAUUACUCGGUCAGGGUACUAGGUCAAUGAGUCAUUGAUUCAACUAGUGGGUCAAUGAUUGAACCGGUUAACUCAAUUUGUGUUAAAAAUUCUAAAAAAUUCAUAAUAUUACGUGAUAAUAUUUAAUUAUCAUAUACUCAAAUUUUAAAAAAUUAUCAUGUCUAAUUAAACAACAAAAAUAAUAUUUUACUACUAUGAAAUGACACAAUAAAUUGAUAAUAUCACCAAACAAUAUAUGAAUUAUGUUUUAAUUACAACAAAAAUAUACAAUAAGUUUAAAAUUUAAUUAAACAACGAAGAUUUUGUUAUAAUGUAAACUAACAAAUGACAAACAUAACUACAAAUAAGUUAAAACUACUUGUUUUUCACUGAAAAACGACAUCGAUUUGGUUGUUUUAAAAAAAAAUAAUUUGAUUGACUCGGCUGAUCCAACCUAUCUGACCACCCGAAUCACUAGUUUUAAGUUUAAACUGAUCGAGUUGACUGAAUUUGAUGAAAAAUCGGUUAGAUGAGAGACUCAGACCGAUUAGAUGUCCGUUCACAAUUGAACCAAUCAAACCAGACAGUUCGAGCUGAGUUUUAUAACAAUGCUACAUUUUAUUGUUUGACCAUUAUAAUAUUCCUGCAAUAAAAAAUUACAAAUCCAUUGGCUUGUUCCUAUUGGAGAUAUUUUUAUAUAUAUUAUGUUAGUUUCUUUAAUAAUAAUAUAAUUAAAACUUUGGCUCGUUAAUCCAAAAAUAAAAUUGUUUUAAUUAAUAAUUUAAACUUUGUUGUGG
rnacentral:lncRNA from 1 species